rnacentral:sRNA from 1 species
AUGGAAACGGAUAGAGUUAACAAAACUUAUCGGUAUUCAACCAAUCAAUUUAGCAAUCAUAAUUCAUUUCAUUAUUCAUUAAUAAUUUUUUUUUUUUUAUUAAUGAAUAAAAUGAUAUUAAUGCUAAAUUAG